rnacentral:rRNA from 1 species
AACGCUAGCUACAGGCUUAACACAUGCAAGUCGAGGGGUAACGAGAGGAAAGCUUGCUUUCCUUGUCGACGACCGGCGCACGGGUGAGUAACGCGUAUCCAACCUGCCCCCAACUAGGGAAUAACCUUGCGAAAGUAAGACUAAUACCCUAUAAUUUCCUCAGAUGCCAUCUGACGAGGAAUAAAGAUUUAUCGGUUGUGGAUGGGGAUGCGUCUGAUUAGCUUGUUGGCGGGGUAACGGCCCACCAAGGCAACGAUCAGUAGGGGUUCUGAGAGGAAGGUCCCCCACAUUGGAACUGAGACACGGUCCAAACUCCUACGGGAGGCAGCAGUGAGGAAUAUUGGUCAAUGGGCGGAAGCCUGAACCAGCCAAGUAGCGUGCAGGAUGACGGCCCUAUGGGUUGUAAACUGCUUUUAUACAGGAAUAAAGUUAGCCACGUGUGGUUAUUUGUAGGUACUGUAUGAAUAAGGACCGGCUAAUUCCGUGCCAGCAGCCGCGGUAAUACGGAAGGUCCAGGCGUUAUCCGGAUUUAUUGGGUUUAAAGGGAGCGUAGGCCGUCUGUUAAGCGUGUUGUGAAAUGUAGAUGCUCAACAUCUGAAUUGCAGCGCGAACUGGCAGACUUGAGUGUGCGCAACGUAGGCGGAAUCCGUGGUGUAGCGGUGAAAUGCUUAGAUAUCACGAAGAACUCCGAUUGA